rnacentral:rRNA from 1 species
GAUGAACGCUAGCGGCAGGCCUAAUACAUGCAAGUCGAACGGUCCACUUCGGUGGAUGGUGGCGCACGGGUGCGUAACACGUAUGCAACCUACCUUACAUUGGGGGAUAGCCUUUCGAAAGGGAGAUUAAUACCGCAUAAGACAGUAACAUGGCAUCAUGUAGCUGUUAAAGAUUUAUCGAUGUAAUCUGGGCAUGCGUCCAAUUAGGUAGUAGGUGAGGUAAUGGCUCACCAAGACGAUGAUUGGUAGGGGAACUGAGAGGUCAAUCCCCCACACUGGCACUGAGAUACGGGCCAGACUCCUACGGGAGGCAGCAGUAGGGAAUAUUGGGCAAUGGACGCAAGUCUGACCCAGCCAUGCCGCGUGCAGGAAGAAGGCGUUCUGCGUUGUAAACUGUUUUUAUAUAGGAAGAAACGACCCUUGCGAGGGGCAUUGACGGUAUUAUAUGAAUAAGCACCGGCUAACUCCGUGCCAGCAGCCGCAGUAAUAC